GGAGAAUGCAAAAUGGAAGCGCGAGAUGGAAAUCGUCUCCUGCUGGGAAAGGGCAAGGCCACCCCAGACCUUGGGAGGAGGAGGACUCCACUUCCAGCCCAUCUACAGAGAGGGGUCAAAACAGCUUCUUGGUCUUGUCCCCCAUUGGAAAACUUCUAUACUGACACUGAGCCCCUCCGAAAUUGCCCAUGAGGGAGAACUUCAUGUAAUCUGACUGAGACAGGCUGCAGAGAUUGAUGGGAUGUGCUGAGCAGCAUCCUGGGAUCACUGACUUGGCCCCAAAUUCCACCGGGAAGCAGAGGACAAGCAACGGAUUGGCUUAAGGCUCUUGGGCCUGCCCUACGUCUUCUGCUGGCCAUGGGGGUCUCCACCAGCCUCCAAGCUGGAGGAGAAAGGAGAGCUCUGUCGGAACAGAGGAAGGAGGGUCGCAAAGAAGGCGGCACACCCGGCUCCCAGACAGAUUCUGGUGUCUCUCCACCCAGGAUCUCCUUCACUGCUGUCCAAACCUCAGCCCGGAAGUCCUGAUGGCGAUUAAACCUCCAUGUUUCUUGCUGCAGUUUCAGCUGGUGUUUUUAGGGGCAGUGGGAGUCGGCUGGUUUUUCCUUGCUUUUUGCAGACCUGAACCCCAAGUCUGAUCAUGUUUCUGCUAGACCCUUUGAGGGCCAGGAUCCUCUUCUUCCUGGAAGAACGUUAUUCUAGAGGGGCUCUCGUUAACUGAUUUUUAGUAGAGUUGUCUUCUGCUGGGUAACACUGCCUGGGAUCUGCAGCCACCCUAGGAGGUCCUCACAUCCACCUGCCUGCCUCCAGGAGCCACAUCCAAGCGGUCUCCCGGAGACGGGGCUCUCCCUCAUUCCUGAGAGCCUCUAGUAAGGGUGGGGGGGGGGGGUGCCCCGGCUUCCAUAGUAACCGAGAUUUCAUCUCCUCAAAGGCAGGGCAUCAUGGCUUAUUCACUAGUUUUCCU
rnacentral:lncRNA from 1 species